ACCGCUCCAGUGGCCUAGUGGUUAGAGCGUCCACCUCGUAUGUGGAGGUCGUGGGUUCGAACCCCGGCCGAGUGGCA